GUCCGCCCACACUGGAAAAUGAAAAAUCGGAGUUUCAGUCAUUCUUGAAAUCCGCCAACUUCACUCUGCUGUCUGCGUUAUCUAAGUACGCCUUCUCUCGCUCUUCCUCUCUCUCUCUAUCUAUCUAUCUGUACAAUUGGCGAAAAAGCGAAUUAAAUCGCGCGAUUUAACUUGAUUAGAUUAAAAAGGAUAGGAUUGCUCAACCUCAAAAUAUUCGGUUUGCCCUUAAAUAGCAAACAGAUAAGUCUGAAUUUUU
rnacentral:misc_RNA from 1 species